AGCAGAGGUAGAAAAGCCCCGUGGCUUUGAGAAACACUUCUCCACCGAUUAAUCCACAUGAGCAAGCUAACAGCAGCCAAGGUGACACAUCCAAAAACACUACGCAUCUUUGUGGUAUGCAUACAAAGAAAGUGUACACGCACAAAUGCACAAAAUGCUCACACAUUAUUACGUGGACAUGGGCAUAUACACACACACAAAAGCAAGAGACUUUAAAAGCUACUCAGGAACUCUUUCUGCAAGGAUGGGCAAAUAGAAUAUUUUGCCUCGCAGUCUUUUCCACCCUUUUCCUCCUUCCGUCAUCACUUUGACUGAGACACUACAAGAGGAAGAUGAUAAAUCUUAAGUAGAAAAGUUUAAUAAGAGUACUUAGCCUUUACAGUCCGUAAUAAGAAGAAAAUCUGUUCUGAAGAUUUGAAUCCAUAACAGCAGCAGAGACAGAGAUUGGCCCAGCUCAAAUCUCUGUUGGGUCAACACUAAUUAAACUCCCCAACUGAGAAGCACAACAUGACAAAAACUUCUUAAGCUUCAUCUCAGUGUGUGUGAAAGAGUUUCACAAGAACAAAAAAGAUAUCAAAGAGAACAGUACAGUCAAGUUGCAUCUACAUCACCACUCCUGCUGUCGUCUUCGCCAAUAAAAGGUCUGUCCAUCUGCUAAACGACUACCUGCUGAAGACAAUCACUUCUCAUAGUGUCUCCAACUGGUGGUCAUCAAAGUUCAUGCAUUCAUUCAUCUAGCAACAAUGACGAUGAAAGAAAAUAUCCUUUCAGCUGUGAGUUGAUUGAUAUACACCUUGGAGAUAAUUUCGCUACUCUUUUGGGUCAACUAAUCCCCAUAAUUCCAGUCCAGGAGAUGAAAUUGAAGCCUCGCAACAUCAGUGCUGUUGGACAUGCUAAUCACAAAAGAUCACAUGCUCAGGAUGCGUAUAAUUACAGAGGCUCUUCUAGCACAUAUGACAUGCACGCAGAGGGGAUGAAACACCAAGGUGAACAUGUGGACAGUAGCUGCAGCAGAAGCCAGAUAGAGGGCACAUUAAGACGGCUCACAGCGGCAGGGACAUUAUGUCCUGUAAUUGAUGAUGGGCUGUCUGUUCUGCCACGUUAAGGUGUGACACACACACACACACACACACACACACACACACCCCCCAGCUGGAUAAAUUUGGUCACUGGUCGAUUGACACAGCUGCUCUCAGCCGGAAUCAGAGCUCGACCAUGUGCAUCUCACCUGAUAACUGAGUCAGCACUAAUGAAGCCACUAUCGUUUUCAUUUUUAACACACAGUCUGUCCUUCACCGGCUGAGCAGAAUCUUUCAAUGCAGAGUAAUGUGCAAGCAUUGAUCUGAUGGAUGGGUUUUGUUUUACACCACUUAUGUAUUCCUCUGCAGGACUCUCAAAGACACAGAGAUGAAGAGGUUUAUCUCAAGACAGCAUAAGACAUUUAAUCAAGAACAGAAAUGUACUGAGUGACAGACAGGAGGAGAGAAUGAAUGAUGGGAGUGACAGCGAGAGAAAGGUACAGACGUGCAGUGGAGUAGAUGGCACUCCUCAUCUCACAGCUGCUAUGGUGUCUAUGAGAACACACCCCUUUCUGCCCAUUCAUAGCUCUGCCGACGCACCACUCAUGCAGGGAAACACACACACACAAACACACACGUGUAAGACUAUGAGUGCCAAUCAUAGUUGUGUAUGCUAAUGUCUCCAGCCUGGCAGUUGGAAGCUGUGGGUGUAACAAACCGGUAUUGUAUACUGCACCUUAAUGCUUUCUUACCCAGCUCUGCUCAUUGUCUCAGGUUAAUUACUUCAGUGACAAUCACAUCUAUAAGGUGAUGAUAUAGGCAAGGUGGGCUAAUGAGAUGCUUUCCAAAUGUCAGACUGUCAAGUACUCUGAAAUAUGCAUGCUUCUGAAAUCAUCCAUGUGGAUAAAUCCAUCUAUGACUCAUCUAAUUUGUUUUGUAACCUAUACAAUAGCCAAAUACACCCCCAUAAUAGUCUUCCCAGGCUCCUCAACUGGAAAACACCUUCCAGCAACAAGUCUGUAGACAGAUGAGGCAAGUCAUUGGCUACAAGCCCUUCAUAAAGAGCCAAUCACAGCACUGCAAUGAUCCACCGUCACCGUGCAAAAAUGACAUCAUUACAUGAUUGCAUUUUUAGAGGGAGGUUUCACUACCAGGAUUCACCAAAGACAAUAUAAUCAAAGCUAGUUAUAAUUGACACCUACACAGACAGAUACACAUCAGACCUGUUUUACACUGCAUGAGUCAUACAGCCAGUCCGCUGGAGCAGUAGGGUCUGGCUGCACUACAUAUAAAACCAAAUCACGUAGCAUGUGUCAAGCCAGAAACUGACCUCAGUGAUUCAUCCAAAAAAAAAAAAAAAAAAAAAGAAAAAUCCUCACUGACGGCUGAAAGCUGAAACCUUUCCCCAACAACAAAUACAGACAGAAAGGAUCAAAUUUCAUCAUAAAACACUUUAAUACUUCAGAUACACCCUGUGGGAUAUUUUUGAUGAUCACAUCAUCUGAUUUAUUCCCUGUAAUAUCACGUUACUAAUUCAUGAUCUGGACCCUGAGAUGUCAUCUGUGACAG